rnacentral:lncRNA from 1 species
UCUGGGUUCAGGCCAUUCUCCUGCCUCAGCCUCCCGAGUAGCUGGGAGUAGAGGCGCCCGCCACCACACCUGGCUAACUUUUUGUAUUUUUAGUGGAGAGGGAGUUUCACCGUUUUAGACAGGAUGGUCUCGAUCUCCUGACCUCCUGAUCCACCCGCCUCUGCCUGCCAAAGUGCUGGGAUUACAGACGUGAGCCACCGCGCCCGGCUGUUUUCUUUUUUUUAACAGUAGGAAAACACAAGCGUGAAGCCUCCAUUUGGGAAGCCUGCAGAAGCCCCAAUCCAAUCACAGCACUGCCAGAGGAUCUUAGAAGUUGAAUAUCAAUUUAAUAACACAUCCUGUUUGGUAAGAGAUUGGGUUCUAACUAUAUUGCCCAAGCUAGAUUCAAACUCUUGGGCUCAAGUGAUCCUCCUGCCUAAGACUCCUUAGUAGCUUGGAACUUCAGAACCAUCUGUCAAUGGCUACUUCAUACUUUAGAUGCUCCAAGAGGAAAAAGUCAUUUCAGAAUUGUAUCCAUAACCCAGUUUCAUUGAAGAUGGAGUCUUCCUUCAGAUUUUCUACAUAGACAAUUAUACCUCUGUGAACAAAGACAGUUUAUUUCUUCCUUCCCACACCCUGCCACACUUCCUCCUGCUCCAGCAAUGUAAAACGUGCCUGCUUCCCCUUCACCUUCCACGUGACUGCAAGUUACCUGAUGCCUCUUUCGCCAGCUUUCUGUACAGCCUGCAGAACCAUGAGGAAUCACACCCCUUUUCUUUACAAAUUACCCAGUCUCAGACAUUUCUUUAUAGCAAUGCAAGAAUGGACUAAUACAGUAUCUGUGUAAAAUGGAGAUGUUUCCUAAGAAAGAAUAAACUCCUUUUGGUAUAAGUUAUGUGACUACAAGCAUACUUGGAUAUCUUAAUAUUUAAUCUGGGCCAGACAUACCUUGAUGUGGCAAGAAAGUAGCUGGAGAACUGUGUUGGUAGUCCUGGGGCUCUUCCUGCUUCUAUUGUUACCCAA